rnacentral:rRNA from 1 species
UACGUAGGGUGCGAGCGUUGUCCGGAAUUACUGGGCGUAAAGAGCUCGUAGGUGGUUUGUCGCGUUGUUCGUGAAAACUCACAGCUUAACUGUGGGCGUGCGGGCGAUACGGGCAGACUGGAGUACUGCAGGGGAGACUGGAAUUCCUGGUGUAGCAGUGAAAUGCGUAGAGAUCAAGAGGAAGACCAGUGGCGAAGGCGGGUCUCUGGACAGUUCCUGACACUGAGACACGAAGGCCAGGGGAGCAAACGGG